rnacentral:piRNA from 1 species
UGGUGCAUCUGGAGGUGUUCAUUCCUCCCAG